rnacentral:lncRNA from 10 species
GUGCAGGUGGAGACGGAACCCUAGACACUGCUCAUCCCAAUCAGGCCCUUUCCAGGCCUGUCCCAUUCCAAUCGGGCAUCAGAUGUGGCAUUGAUCAUCAUCUACUUAACAAACGAGGCUCCCCUUUCAAUGCACUUGGGUCUCCUCUGGGCCAACCUUGGUUCUGAGAUAGCAGGUGCUGAAAUACUGCUGAAUCCUCAAAGCCAGACUAGCCAGUGCCUGGCACCUGAUGGGAAUAUGAUUUCAACGAACAGAAAUGAAGAGACCACCCAGAAAUACAGACCCAGCCUUUCAUUCUCUUAUAUUCCUUAUGUCCAACAUUUAUUGGGCCCUUACCAUGUGCUCCAUAUGGUGCUGGGUCCUGGGAGUUGGAGUUACAAACAACUAAGAUGACAGACUUUGCUCCAAGUAGGGAUUCUUGGCUCUCAGCCCCAUGGAGAAAGUCUCCUUAUCACCUUUCUGCACAGGGGAGGAAAUCGAGAUCAAAAAAGUUAAGAGACUGAGUUAAG